GUUGUUGCUGCUGCUGCUGUUGUGAUGAUUGUGAUUGCGAUUGUGAUAAAUUAUGCUCUUGGGAUAAAAUUUGCUGUAUCAUAUGCAUUAACGUUGAUAAUGAUAAUGGUAGAAGGCAUAAUCCUCAUGAUGACACCUGCUACCAUUUGUGCUGUUGUUGCUGUUGCGAUGAUGAUUAUCAAAGAAGAAGAGUACCAAACCAAUCGAAGCAAGAAGAAUUUAAUCCCAAAAA
rnacentral:misc_RNA from 1 species